CUCUCUCUCUCUCUCUCUCUCUGUCUCUCUCUCUCUAUUGUACGAUCUUCCUUCUUCUACGUUCCUUGAGAAACAUGUCUUGCUAUGUUUGUACAUUUCUCGUUUAUACUAUAUAUGUUUAAUUUCAUACCCCUUCGAAUUUAUAUUUGAUCUAUGUGGAGUGCGAAACUUUCUGAUUAAUAAAUCGUUCAAGAUAUAUAUAUGCAAAUGUCAACUAUUUGUGUAUUUUAAAGAGCAUUUCGCAUGUGAAUUCAACCAACACGAUCGAUAUUUGCACGACAUUGUUCCAGCCGACUCUACAAGGACUACAAAUGCAAUUAUUUGUUAUUGUUUUUAAAGAAAAGCACAUGAGAGAUCCAUAAUAUCGUACGAAAGCAAAAGCAACAAAAAAAAAGUUUGUUGAAUUUUAUACUCACAUCAGUGACAAAACAGCAGAGAACAUUUUUUAAAUUCGCGCGUGCGCGAAACUUGUAAGACAUAUUUCGAAAGAAAAAAAUUAU